CACUUCUUUUUCUUCUUCCUCAAGGACGUUUGCCACUACUAUUUUUAAAGUUGGAUAAGAAGAACUAAUAAGCCAGUCUAAUAAAAAUAACAAAGAAGAGGUUUUGAACCCAGAAAAAGAAAUAUUGUGAAACAAAAGUUACCCAAAAACAUGUAAGUUUCUAUUCUCAAUCUUAAGCUUUUACUCUCAAUCUUUAGUCCAAGUAUUUCUUCGACAUUAUACCAUAAUAAUGGCAAUGCUUCAGUUUUCUAUGUUACCUUUCUAAUUCUUCAUUUUCUUUCUCAUCUUCUUUUCUUUGGUGGGUUCUAUAAAACAACACUGUGUAAAUUAAGAUCGAAAG